ACCGGGUGUGGUGGUGCAUGCCUGUAGUCCCAGCUACUUGGGAGGCUGAGGCAGGAGGAUCUCUUGAGCCCAGGAGGUUGAGGCUGUAGUGAGCCAUGAUGGUAUCACUGCACUCCUGCCUGGGUGACAGAGUGAGACCUUGUCUCAA
rnacentral:sRNA from 1 species